GACGGAAGGUGCAAGCGUUGCUCGGAAUCACUGGGCGUAAAGGGUGCGUAGGCGGCCGUGCAAGUCUGGCGUGAAAGCCCCGGGCUCAGCCCGGGAAGUGCGCUCGAAACUGCGCGGCUCGAGUGCCGGAGGGGAGAGUGGAAUUCCUGGUGUAGCGGUGAAAUGCGUAGAUAUCAGGAGGAAUACCGGUGGCGAAAGCGACUCUCUGGACGACUCCUGACACUGAGGCGCGAAAGCGUGGGGAGCGAACAGG
rnacentral:rRNA from 1 species